UUUUUUUUUGCGGUUGCUUGGGGGAAUGGUAGCAUCAAUCAUGAAAAAACCACAUAUUCCCCAUGGCUUGCGGUGCCAAAAAUUUCAUAUGCCACUUUGCACUUAACUAUGGAAAAGCAAUAUUUGAGUCUUAUCUAUUGAUGAGAGCACAUAUAUCGUGCCAAUAUUCAUCCAUAUCCAUAUUCAUGAGUCGUUCUCCAUAUGAUGUGAUCAACACAACAUCACUUUUUUCUCCUUCCUUCUUUUUCUAUGGUUUCUAAUUUUUGGACCCCGAUAAGUACCACACGUGUGGCACAAAGCAACUUGAACCAAACACCCCCAUCACCAUAUAUGGCGCCACGUCACCGCACACAUGCAAAAAUUACGAAACUGAUGAUGCCAGCGGGAAUCUUUUGGAUUUUCAGUUUUUAAAGUGUUUUAUCUCUUAAAUUAAAAAUCUGAUUAAAAACCGUUUUCACCAUUAAAUUCGCCGCGAUGAGAUCUACGAAACUAGAUCCCAUAUUCAUAUGUUUUGACGACUUAUUUUGUUGGGUUAAAAGUUGCCAUGUCUAUUGUAUCGAAGUUGCCAUGAUAUGUUUCAACUACUUUUCUCUUCUAUGUUUAAAAUAAAUUUUGACAUGUUAUAAAAAAGGAUUAGGAAACUAAACUUAUCAUGGUGAAUUACUAAAAUUUGUCAUGAUCUAUGAAAUACUUUUGACAUGGUUCGUAAUUAAAAAGAAAUCCGUCGCCAAUUACUUAAAAAUACAUGGUCAAUGACUCAAAGUUGGCAUGAACCAUAAAGUAAAAUUGCCAUGGUGAAUUAUUUAAAUUUGUCACGAUACAUGCACUAAACUUGCCAUGGUUCAUACAAAAAAAAAUACCAUGGUGAAAAUACAAAAAUUGCCAUGACCUGUAAACUAAAAUUGCCAUGAUCUAUAAACUAAAUUUGCCAUGAUGAAUUACUAAAAAUUGCCAUGAUCCAUGAAGUAAAUUUGUUGUGGUAAUUACCAUAAAUUGCCAUGGUCAAUUAGAAAAGUAAUUGAAAUGCAAUGUUGCUUUAACUAGAAAAAAGAUAGUACAUAUCAUGGCAACUUUUGGCCCUCAGAAUAAGUCGUUAAAACAUAACAACAUGUGAUCUAGUUUUGAAGAUCUCGCCGAUAUGGAUUUAAUGAUGAAAACGGAUUUUUAAUCAGAUUUUUUAUUUAGGAGAUAAAACAUUUUUAAGUUUAAAAAAUCAAAAAGAUUUCGUUGAUGUCAUCUAUUUGACGUGGCAAAAUGGAUGAGAAUGGAGGCGUUUGAGCCAUGUUGCUUUGUGCCACACAUGGGGCACUUAUCAUUUCAGAAUUUUUAAUCUUUUUCCCAUUGCACAUUGCAUGCCCAUGCAAUCCUGUAAAAUUUUCUAGCUCCUUCUGGUAUUCAUCAAAUCAAACAGGGACCCUAAAAAUGUACAGUUUUUGCAUUCUAAGCAGGACAUCAACUCCAACGCGCUUCAUCAGCAAAAAAGAGCAGUCACAACAGAAAGCAGAGACAUGUAAACCUCAAUGUCAGCAAGAGACCUCAGCUCAGGAAUAACAACACCAAAUCAUGUACAACAAUUGUGACCUGCUGCUGCUUCUGUAACAGCAGCCUUAACACAACUGUACACAAUAGACAGACAAUGCGCGGCUGCUACACAACCGGAGAAAUAGUGAGGUUAUAUCUGACUGAUUCGGACUCAUCCGUCUCCUCUACUACCACAGGUACAAAUGAUGCACCAUGCACAAGCGACAUUACAUGAAAUAAUUAAUGGUACACGAAAUCUGGUGUCAGCCAUC
rnacentral:lncRNA from 1 species